rnacentral:rRNA from 1 species
CGAAGGGUGCAAGCGUUACUCGGAAUUACUGGGCGUAAAGCGUGCGUAGGUGGUUUGUUAAGUCUGAUGUGAAAGCCCUGGGCUCAACCUGGGAAUGGCAUUGGAUACUGGCAGGCUAGAGUGCGGUAGAGGGUAGUGGAAUUCCCGGUGUAGCAGUGAAAUGCGUAGAGAUCGGGAGGAACAUCUGUGGCGAAGGCGACUACCUGGACCAGCACUGACACUGAGGCACGAAAGCGUGGGAGCAAACAGGAUU